CUUGCUCCUAACAUCUACGUUCCCCUCAUGUCUUUGAUAAAUUGUAUUUUAAGUGAUGUCAUAGACAGGAUUGUUUAAAUUUAGUUAAUUUUCCAUGCUCUUCAGACUGUGCUAUUGUGUAAAUGUCUAUUCUGCUCUGGUUUGUGUGAACUGGGAUGUUGUGGGUGUUUGUGGAUAUCUUACCUGGGGAAGUCCUUAUGUUUAUCUUGCUUUUCAUGUGUCUUUCUGUAGACAUAUCUGAAGAGAUGGAUUAAGGAUGCUUUGCAUUAAGGAUUGUGGAGCACAUUUCAAUCAUUUUAGGAUUAUCAAAAGGAGGAUUGAGGAGGAUCAGAUCAAUAAUGGAGGCAAUGGUUUGGAUUGGAGAGGGCUCACUGGAUCCCAAUCCUUGGAGCUGGAUCAUUGGAUCAAAUCAUAAUGUGGAUAGGAUAGGGAGGAUGAAUUACAAGGAUUCAUGGAGCGGGAUCAUAUUACCAGGAACAUAGGAGUGGAUUCCUGCCCCAACCAAACCGCAUUCGUGUGGAUUUUUUUUUUUUAUUCAACUUAAUUGGCUAUUCCAAAGAUUUUUUUUUUUCCUAUUUUUGACGAUUGGAGCCCUUAAGAUGCACGAUGGAAUUGUGUUUUGCAUUUUUUGGUAAAAGGAGCAAAGCGAGGACCUGGAGAUAAACGCUGGAGCAAUCUCCUUGGAAGGAUUCAGCACGAGUAGAUGGUAAACAUUUAAAGGGGAAAGGGGGGGUUUGUUUAAAAUAGUAAAUCAGUAAGUCACUUCUAAAUUUAAAGAAAACAAAAUUGGAGUUGAAGAAUAAGUAGGUUUCCAAUUGGCUAUUGCCGAUUUUCUUUGAAAAAUAAACGUUUUUUAAAAAACUAUG